AUUGAACGCUGGCGGCAUGCUUUACACAUGCAAGUCGAACGGUAACAGGCCUUCGGGUGCUGACGAGUGGCGAACGGGUGAGUAAUGCAUCGGAACGUGCCCAGAGGUGGGGGAUAACGCAGCGAAAGCUGUGCUAAUACCGCAUGUGAUCUGAGGAUGAAAGCGGGGGACCAGGCAGCAAUGUUUGGCCUCGCGCCUUUGGAGCGGCCGAUGUCAGAUUAGGUAGUUGGUGGGGUAAAGGCCUACCAAGCCGACGAUCUGUAGCUGGUCUGAGAGGACGACCAGCCACACUGGGACUGAGACACGGCCCAGACUCCUACGAGAGGCAGCAGUGGGGAAUUUUGGACAAUGGGCGCAAGCCUGAUCCAGCAAUGCCGCGUGCGGGAAGAAGGCCUUCGGGUUGUAAACCGCUUUUGUACGGAACGAAAAGGCUCUGGCUAAUACCUGGGGCUGAUGACGGUACCGUAAGAAUAAGCACCGGCUAACUACG
rnacentral:rRNA from 1 species